CGUCACGUGACCAGGAGUCGACGUGUGCAGAAGUCCUUAUAGUCCAGGGCCUGUUUCCCUGUAGCAGCUCCUUAUAGCUGGAGAAGGAGAAAAGUGCCCCGUAUCCUUUCAGGACUCUUGGUCUUUUGGGCGCGACACAAAUCGAGUGAGGGAAGAGGGGGGAAAAUCCCCUGGAUCCCUGCAGGAUUAAUUUAUUCAAAAAGGAAAUAAU